UACAGAGGGUGCGAGCGUUAAUCGGAAUUACUGGGCGUAAAGCGCACGUAGUCGGCUUUGCAAGUCGGGUGUGAAAUCCCCGGGCUCAACCUGGGAACUGCAUCCGAGACUGCAUUGCUAGAGUAUGGGGAGAGGGAAGCGGAAUUUUCUGGUGUAGCAGUGAAAAUGCGUAGAUAUCAGAAGGAACAUCAGUGGCGAAAGGCGGCU
rnacentral:rRNA from 1 species